AGCGGUGUCGGGAGGUUUCUGCCAGGGUCUGGGACCCGACUGGGCUUCUUGGCCUCGGUCUGGAGGGAUGUGGAGCAGGCGGCGGGAAAUCGUGGCUCGGGUUUCUACCCCCAGGAAGCUUCCUAGAACCGGAUCCCAAGAGGAUCUCGCCCUCCAGGCGCAGGGUCCCGCACUUGUGAGGAGCACGUGUGCGGGCGGAACUGGACAAAUCCGGUCAAGGCGAUUCUCUGAAAGGGGCAGGCAAUAUUGAGAAUGAUUUUUAAACCCGAAUGAGACGGUUUCCUUGGUUUUCCUGACACUUUGGGUGGGAUUAGGAGCAAAUUUGAGGAUGGUUAGAAAAUACCUGGAUUCAGAGGAUCUGAAUAAGGCAAACUGCAGGAAUUUUGUCUGCAUUCUUGCGAACAAAUUGAUUAUUGCUUUGAAUCAGUAGUUGAGGUUCCCAGCAGCAGCAGCUUGAUUGCUUCCAAAUUCCCUUACACUGCUACUGCACUCGUUUCUUAAGGAUUGGUUUUGUUCCGGAAGAGGUCCCAUUUGUAACGUCCAACUUUCACUACCCCUUGCUCUCUCAGGUUAAGUUUUUCUCUACUCUUUGGUCAUUUUUUUCCUGAAUUUCCUUUCUGUCCCAGAUGCUGCCCUGUGGCAAGCCUAUGAACCACACUAUGGAAAAGUACUAUUACGAACACCUUCAAGAGCCAGCUUUACUGUAAAGCAAGUUAAGCCGUACUGGGGGUUAUGAAAUCCAAAUGGGAGCGCCAGCUAAUUCCUCCGGGGCAGCACAGGGAGCUGCCUGCCAAGUAUAGAGGAGAAAAUAGUGGCUGGUGAACAGUCUGCAUGUGGAGUUAACUGAUGCCAUCUCCUGAAUGAGAAACCAGUACCUACUACCACCUCAGUUGACAGUCCGUGGUGACAUCAGAGGGAACUGGAAUUGGAUGGCCAAGACAGCUGGUGUAAAUAUUUAAGGGCCUAAGCUGCCUUAAGUGGCAGUUAAUAACCAAAACUACCACUCUUAAUUGCUUCAGCCAAGUUUCAGGUUCCAGUCCUGAACCAUAUUAAGAGGAAACUAUAAGGCCACAAGGAGAGAACUGGAUGUGAAGUGCCCAUAUGGGAUCCCGGUGCAUGCAAGGUGAGGAUUUGGCCCCUAGGCCCUAUUAAAUGCAGGGCUGUGAUGCAGGGGUUUCACCUGCUCCGCUUCCAAUACACCUCCUAGAUGAUGUGCCACAGGAAGUAGCAGAGGGGCUCAUAAUGAAAAUAGCUAAAUUUGCAGCAAUUCUGACAGUACAGCAUUUAUUUGAGAUUUCCAGGAAAACAAUUGUAUAAAUCAAGAUCUGUAUGUAAAAAAUUAAAUCUGGGAAAUAAAUGAA